rnacentral:sRNA from 1 species
GAGCGCCCGGCGGAAAACCGAAGUCAGAAGUCUCUCUUAGCAGCACGCGGAGAAGAACGGGGAGCCAGCAUCAUGGCAGAACAGGAUGUGGAAAACGAUCUUUUGGAUUAUGAUGAAGAGGAAGAGCCCCAGGCUCCUCAAGAGAGCACACCGGCUCCCCCUAAGAAAGACAUCAAGGGAUCCUACGUUUCCAUCCACAGCUCUGGCUUCCGGGACUUUCUGCUGAAGCCGGAGCUCCUGCGGGCCAUCGUGGACUGUGGCUUUGAGCAUCCUUCUGAGGUCCAGCAUGAGUGCAUUCCCCAGGCCAUCCUGGGCAUGGACGUCCUGUGCCAGGCCAAGUCCGGGAUGGGCAAGACAGCGGUCUUCGUGCUGGCCACCCUACAGCAGAUUGAGCCUGUCAACGGACAGGUGACGGUCCUGGUCAUGUGCCACACGAGGGAGCUGGCCUUCCAGAUCAGCAAGGAAUAUGAGCGCUUUUCCAAGUACAUGCCCAGCGUCAAGGUGUCUGUGUUCUUCGGUGGUCUCUCCAUCAAGAAGGAUGAAGAAGUGUUGAAGAAGAACUGUCCCCAUGUCGUGGUGGGGACCCCGGGCCGCAUCCUGGCGCUCGUGCGGAAUAGGAGCUUCAGCCUAAAGAAUGUGAAGCACUUUGUGCUGGACGAGUGUGACAAGAUGCUGGAGCAGCUGGACAUGCGGCGGGAUGUGCAGGAGAUCUUCCGCCUGACACCACACGAGAAGCAGUGCAUGAUGUUCAGCGCCACCCUGAGCAAGGACAUCCGGCCUGUGUGCAGGAAGUUCAUGCAGGAUGUGAGUAGGGCGAGAGUGGCAGCUUCAGCCUUCCCCAGGGGCCUGGAGCCUGGGGCCCCAGGACACCCGCACGGCCCACAUGGCACGGAGGAUGCUGGGAUGCUGGGAGCCGGCAGAGCCUCCUUUCCUCCCCUCGGUCUUGUCAAACUGGGAGUCAAGCUUGGUCCACACCUGAGUCGGGCCAGAGCUUACAUCCAGCUUUUGAGCGAUGUUUACUGAGGUCUGGUGCAGCAGGUCCUCUGGGAAGUGUCGCACAAAGGAGUCGCCCACUGGAAGGUUCUGGGCAGGCGAGAUGCCCAGAGGUGAUACCUGCCCGCCCCUCCCACCUCCCUUCCCACACAGCCCAUGGAGGUGUUUGUGGACGACGAGACCAAGCUCACGCUGCACGGCCUGCAGCAGUACUACGUCAAACUCAAAGACAGUGAGAAGAACCGCAAGCUCUUUGAUCUCUUGGAUGUGCUGGAGUUUAACCAGGUGAUAAUCUUCGUCAAGUCAGUGCAGCGCUGCAUGGCCCUGGCCCAGCUCCUCGUGGAGCAGAACUUCCCGGCCAUCGCCAUCCACCGGGGCAUGGCCCAGGAGGAGCGGUGAGUGCGAGCCGCCGGCCAAGGCUGCAGGGAGCACCACCAGGAGCCCAGUGUCUGACGGCCUCCACUUGUUUCUCCUGCACCCCAGCCUGUCACGCUAUCAGCAGUUCAAGGAUUUCCAGCGGCGGAUCCUGGUGGCCACGAAUCUGUUUGGCCGGGGGAUGGACAUCGAGCGAGUCAACAUCGUCUUUAACUACGACAUGCCUGAGGACUCGGACACCUACCUGCACCGGGUGGCCCGGGCGGGUCGCUUUGGCACCAAAGGCCUAGCCAUCACUUUUGUGUCUGACGAGAAUGAUGCCAAAAUCCUCAAUGACGUCCAGGACCGGUUUGAAGUUAAUGUGGCAGAACUUCCAGAGGAAAUCGACAUCUCCACAUACAUUGAGCAGAGCCGGUAACCACCACGUGCCAGAGCCGCCCACCCGGAGCCGCCCGCAUGCAGCUUCACCUCCCCUUUCCAGGCGCCACUGUUGAGAAGCUAGAGAUUGUAUGAGAAUAAACUUGUUAUUAUGGAA